UACGAAGGGGGCUAGCGUUGCUCGGAAUCACUGGGCGUAAAGGGUGCGUAGGCGGGUUUUUAAGUCAGGGGUGAAAUCCUGGAGCUCAACUCCAGAACUGCCUUUGAUACUGGCGAUCUCGAGUCCGGGAGAGGUGAGUGGAACUGCGAGUGUAGAGGUGAAAUUCGUAGAUAUUCGCAAGAACACCAGUGGCGAAGGCGGCUCACUGGCCCGGUACUGACGCUGAGGUGCGAAAGCGUGGGGAGCAAACAGGG
rnacentral:rRNA from 1 species